rnacentral:pre_miRNA from 1 species
GCUGGUUGGCAUUCUGGUCCUGGUUCAUGACACUUGUGUUAACUGUUCCAGGAUGUCAGCAUAGUU